UUGAUUCAAUUUUCAAAGACUCAGAAUUCACAUUCAAAGGAAUUUAAAAAUCCUCUGGCGGACGCUAUCCAGCCUAGGCCGGUGGCAAUAUUGCCGGUCCGCCAAAGCAACAUUUAAAGUCAUCAUAGGGUGGGAGUAGGAACCCGAGAGCUCCGGUACUCUUUAAUGAUCCUUCCGCAGGUUCACCUACGGAAA
rnacentral:misc_RNA from 1 species